rnacentral:lncRNA from 1 species
CUUAGAAUUUUCGUUGAUAUAAUACAUGACUUACAUCGCAUAUAAGUCUAUGUAAUUCGGUCCAGAAGAUCCACAGAUCAGAUCUAUGAUCCGUAAUUUCCAAGGAUACACAUUAUGCUUCUAGAACAACAUACUAAAGUUUCAGAACGAUCCAACGGUCGGAUCUCCGCUAAUUGCCAAAACCAAGUGGCGGUUAGCAUUUUAUUUUACGAACUUACAAAUCCAAUUCGAGGAGAUCUAUAAGUCGGAUUCCCAAUCCGUAAGUUCCUAUAUUCUCAAAUAUUAUGAAUAAUAAUCUAUCAAAGUUUGAUGAUGAUCCAACGGUCGGAUCGUCGAUUCAUAUAAUGGCCUAUUAACGUAUCUUAGAGAAUUUUGGCUCUAACGAUCAAUCUACAUCAUUCACUUCUCAAAACUGAAUUCAAGACAUCACAUAUAGUCUAAAAAUAGCAUUGGCGACCCUCAGGCC